rnacentral:rRNA from 1 species
GAUGAACGCUGGCGGCAUGCCUAACACAUGCAAGUCGAACGAGAAUCUAUGGAUAGAGGAUUCGUCCAAUUGAAAUAGAGGACAGUGGCGAACGGGUGAGUAAUGCAUGAGCAACCUGCCCUUCAGAGGGGGACAACAGUUGGAAACGACUGCUAAUACCGCAUAACAUUUUGGGAAGGCAUCUUCCUAAAAUCAAAGAUUUAUCGCUGAAGGAUGGGCUCAUGUCUGAUUAGCUAGUUGGCGGGGUAACGGCCCACCAAGGCUGCGAUCAGUAGCCGGUCUGAGAGGAUGAACGGCCACAUUGGGACUGAGAUACGGCCCAGACUCCUACGGGAGGCAGCAGUGGGGAAUAUUGGGCAAUGGGCGCAAGCCUGACCCAGCAAUGCCGCGUGAAGGAAGAAGGCCCUCGGGUUGUAAACUUCUUUUAUCAGGGACGAAGGAUGUGACGGUACCUGAUGAAUAAGCUCCGGCUAACUACGUGCCAGCAGCCGCGGUAAUACGUAGGGAGCAAGCGUUAUCCGGAUUUACUGGGUGUAAAGGGCGCGUAGGCGGGAUGGCAAGUCAGAUGUGAAAUCCAGGGGCUCAACCCCUGAACUGCAUUUGAAACUGUCGUUCUUGAGUACUGGAGAGGUUGACGGAAUUCCUAGUGUAGCGGUGAAAUGCGUAGAUAUUAGGAGGAACACCAGUGGCGAAGGCGGUCAACUGGACAGCAACUGACGCUGAGGCGCGAAAGCGUGGGGAGCAAACAGGAUUAGAUACCCUGGUAGUCCACGCCGUAAACGAUGAAUACUAGGUGUGGGGGGACUGACCCCCUCCGUGCCGCAGUUAACACAAUAAGUAUUCCACCUGGGGAGUACGGCCGCAAGGUUGAAACUCAAAGGAAUUGACGGGGGCCCGCACAAGCAGUGGAUUAUGUGGUUUAAUUCGAAGCAACGCGAAGAACCUUACCAGGGUUUGACAUCCCGGUGACCGGGGCAGAGAUGUCCUUUCCCUUCGGGGCACCGGUGACAGGUGGUGCAUGGUUGUCGUCAGCUCGUGUCGUGAGAUGUUGGGUUAAGUCCCGCAACGAGCGCAACCCUUAUUGUUAGUUGCUACGCAAGAGCACUCUAGCGAGACUGCCGUUGACAAAACGGAGGAAGGUGGGGACGACGUCAAAUCAUCAUGCCCCUUAUAUCCUGGGCUACACACGUAAUACAAUGGCACUUAACAAAGGGAAGCAAUACCGCGAGGUGGAGCAAAUCCCCAAAAAGUGUCCCAGUUCGGACUGCAGUCUGCAACUCGACUGCACGAAGUCGGAAUUGCUAGUAAUCGCGGAUCAGCAUGCCGCGGUGAAUACGUUCCCGGGCCUUGUACACACCGCCCGUCACACCAUGAGAGUCGGGAACACCCGAAGUCCGUAGUCUAACCGCAAGGAGGACGCGGCCGAAGGUGGGCUUGAUAAUUGGGGUGAAGUCGUAACAAGGUAGCCGUUCGAGAACGAGCGGCUGGAUCACCUCCUUUCUAAGGAGAACUGGUCACGUCCUGCAAAGCAGGGCCGUAGAAAAGUGACCAUUAUCCCAGGUCAGACCCUUUUCCUGGUCUUACAUUGUUUAAUUUUGAGGGUAUUCCCCGUGGAGCCAUCCGGCUUCGCGGCGGGAACUCUCGAUUUUUUCUGCACCUUGAAAACUGAACAGAGAGAAAGAAUGCGAAGCAAGGCAACAGAGGGCGUCGCACGAAAGUGUGACAAACAAAAGUAGCGAAGAACGAAAAAUGUGGAACUUUAAUUUAUUAGGGUGAAGCAACAAUUUCAAGAACUUCCGAUGAAGUUGCCUGCAUAAUUCGAAAUGCUAAGAGAACCAAGCAGACCAUGCGGCGCGAGAGCGCUGCGGCACAGGUCAAGCUAGAAAGAGCGCAAGGGGAAUGCCUUGGCAUCAGGAGCCGACGAAGGACGUGACAAGCUGCGAUAAGCCACGGGGAGCCGCAAAUAGGUGUUAAUCCGUGGAUUUCCGAAUGGGGAAACCCGGCACGGCAAUACCGUGUCAACGUGCGUUGAAUCAAAUAGGCGUACGUGGGGAACCGCCUGAACUGAAACAUCUAAGUAGGGCGAGGAAAAGACAUCAACCGAGAUUCCGCAAGUAGUGGCGAGCGAACGCGGAGGAGGCCAAACCACGAGACAUUGUUUUGUGGGGUUCGGACAGCUUUUUAAGACGAUAGGUUAGGAGAACGGCAUGGGAAGGCCGACCAUAGAGGGUGAGAGUCCUGUAUCCGAAAACCGACAAUAUGUAGCUGUAUCCAGAGUACCGCCGGACACGUGAAACCCGGUGGGAACGCGGGUGGACCACCAUCCAAGCCUAAAUACUACCUGAUGACCGAUAGAGAAGC